CAGAAAGAUGUUAUUGGAAACGAUCCCAAGAUGGAAGACAUCUUGCUCUCAAGAAGUCUUAAGUACAACUGAGCUUGCUAGCAAAACUAACCCAGGUUUUCCUCAUUUGUCUUUGGAAUGCACCCCAAAGGCUAAGACUAUUUAUUUUAUCACAUUAUAAGGGAGCGAGCUUACGAGUCAGAUUUUGAAGCACUGUCUUUAAAACUGUAACAUACCCAGAAGGGUUGGCAGAAUUGGGACUGGAAUAAAAUAGGAUACAAUUUGUAAAAUCAUCUUCAUAUAUUUGAAUAAGAUCUCCACUGACAAGGUGUUGAUAUGUGGAAGUAGUUACCUCGGGUCAAGUGUUCCUGCAGCCAGGCUGCAAGUACUCACUUCAAUGGAAAGCUCUGAGGUCCCUGCCAGCCCCUCUGGUCUACAGAUGUCUUGGGAUGCAGCCCCACCCUUUCUUAGUCACAGCAGUGGGA
ensembl:lncRNA novel transcript